UACAGAGGUCCCAACCGUUGUUCGGAUUCAUUGGGCGUAAAGGGUGCGUAGGCGGCGGGGCAAGUCAGGUGUGAAAUCUCGGGGCUCAACCCCGAAACUGCACUUGAUACUGCCUUGCUCGAGUACUGGAGAGGAGACUGGAAUUUACGGUGUAGCAGUGAAAUGCGUAGAUAUCGUAAGGAAGACCAGUGGCGAAGGCGAGUCUCUGGACAGUUCCUGACGCUGAGGCACGAAGGUCAGGGGAGCAAACGGG
rnacentral:rRNA from 1 species